UGGGGAAUAUUGCGCAAUGGGCGAAAGCCUGACGCAGCGACGCCGCGUGUGGGAUGACGGCCUUCGGGUUGUAAACCACUGUCGGGAGGGACGAAUGCGCCGCAAGGCGAGUGACGGUACCUCCAAAGGAAGCACCGGCUAACUCCGUGCCAGCAGCCGCGGUAAUACGAAGGGAGCUAGCGUUGUUCGGAAUUACUGGGCGUAAAGCGCACGUAGGCGGUGGCGCAUGUCAGAUGUGAAAGCCCUGGGCUUAACCUAGGAAUUGCAUUUGAAACUGCGUCGCUAGAGGCCGGAAGAGGGUAGUGGAAUUCCCAGUGUAGAGGUGAAAUUCGUAGAUAUUGGGAAGAACACCGGUGGCGAAGGCGGCUACCUGGUCCGGUUCUGACGCUGAGGUGCGAAAGCGUGGGGAGCAAA
rnacentral:rRNA from 1 species